CCUACGAGCGGCAGCAGUGAGGAAUAUUGGUCAAUGGACGAGAGUCUGAACCAGCCAAGUAGCGUGAAGGAUGAAUGCCCUAUGGGCUGUAAACGUCUUUUAUAUGGGAAUAAAAUGUUGCACGUGUGGGAUUUUGUAUGUACCAUAUGAAUAAGGAUCGGCUAACUACGUGCCAGAAGCCGAGGUAAUACGGAGGAUCCGAGCGUUAUCCGGAUUUAUGGGGGUUAAAGGGAGCGUAGGUGGAUUGUUAAGUAAGUUGUGAAAGUUUGCGGCUCAACCGUAAAAUUGCAGUUGAAACUGGCAGUCUUGAGUACAGUAGAGGUGGGCGGAAUUCGUGGUGUAGCGGUGAAAUGCUUAGAUAUCACGAAGAACUCCGAUUGCGAAGGCAGCUCACUGGACUGCAACUGACACUGAGGCUCGAAAGUGUGGGUAUCAAACAGGAUUAGAUACCCUUGUAGUC
rnacentral:rRNA from 1 species